GAUGAACGCUGGCGGCGUGCUUAACACAUGCAAGUCGAACGGAAAGGCUCCUGCUUGCAGGGGUACUCGAGUGGCGAACGGGUGAGUAACACGUGGGUGAUCUGCCCUGCACUUCGGGAUAAGCCUGGGAAACUGGGUCUAAUACCGGAUAGGACGAUGGUUUGGAUGCCAUUGUGGAAAGUUUUUGGGCGUGGGAUGAGCUCGCGGCCUAUCAGCUUGUUGGUGGGGUAAUGGCCUACCAAGGCGUCGACGGGUAGCCGGCCUGAGAGGGUGUACGGCCCCAUUAGGACUGAGAUACGGCGCAGACUCCUACGGGAGGCAGCAGUGGGGAAUAUUGCACAAUGGGCGCGAGCCUGAUGCAGAGACGCCGCGUGGGGGAUGACGGCCUUCGGGUUGUAAACUCCUUUCGCUAGGGACGAAGCGCAAGUGACGGUACCUGGAGAAGAAGCACCGGCUAACUACGUG
rnacentral:rRNA from 1 species